rnacentral:rRNA from 1 species
UACGGAGGAUCCGAGCGUUAUCCGGAUUUAUUGGGUUUAAAGGGUGCGUAGGCGGCUUUUUAAGUCAGCGGUGAAAUUUUGCAGCUUAACUGUAACAGUGCCGUUGAUACUGGGGAGCUAGGAUUUGGUUGCUGUGGGUGGAAUGUGUGGUGUAGCGGUGAAAUGCUUAGAUAUCACACAGAACACCGAUUGCGAAGGCAGCACACUAAGUCAUUAUUGACGCUGAGGCACGAAAGUGUGGGGAUCAAACAGGAUUAGAUACCCCUGUA